CCAGUUCGGUCCAACUCACCUACAUCUGGGGGCUACCAUGCCAGGAAGGAAAUUCACUAAAAUAGAAUAAGUUCAAAGACUCUCCGUACACUUCAACAAGUUCUAGUCUUUCUCACCUAAUCUCUACCCGUGCAAUUUCUACCUAAGCACUCUUAGAUAUGAGAACCCACUCACUUUCCUUCAAUCACACCUGUGAUUUUAAACAACAAUCCCUUGUGAAAAUAAAACACUUUUCAAUUACACAC
rnacentral:lncRNA from 1 species